rnacentral:ncRNA from 2 species
CUGAAAGACGGCUCCGGCUGUCACUUACAGAUGGGCCCGCGGCGCAUUAGCUAGUUGGUGAGGUAACGGCUCACCAAGGCCACGAUGCGUAGCCGACCUGAGAGGGUGAUCGGCCACACUGGGACUGAGACACGGCCCAGACUCCUACGGGAGGCAGCAGUAGGGAAUCUUCCGCAAUGGACGAAAGUCUGACGGAGCAACGCCGCGUGAGCGAAGAAGGCCUUCGGGUCGUAAAGCUCUGUUGUCAGGGAAGAACAAGUACCGGAGUAACUGCCAGUACCUUGACGGUACCUGACCAGAAAGCCACGGCUAACUACGUGCCAGCAGCCGCGGUAAUACGUAGGUGGCAAGCGUUGUCCGGAAUUAUUGGGCGUAAAGCGCGCGCAGGCGGUCCUUUAAGUCUGAUGUGAAAGCCCACGGC